UACGGAGGGAGCUAGCGUUGUUCGGAAUUACUGGGCGUAAAGCGCACGUAGGCGGUUAUUCAAGUCAGAGGUGAAAGCCCGGGGCUCAACUCCGAAACUGCCUUUGAAACUAGAUAGCUUGAAUCCAGGAGAGGUGAGUGGAAUUCCGAGUGUAGAGGUGAAAUUCGUAGAUAUUCGCAAGAACACCAGUGGCGAAGGCGGCUCACUGGCCCGAUACUGACGCUGAGGCACGAAAGCCAGGGGAGCGAACGGGG
rnacentral:rRNA from 1 species